UAGGAACUGAGAAGUGGUCUGUGGUCCCCACCUGCAGAACCACUCCUUUAUUGGGGGUGUCUUGCUAAUUGCCUAUAAUUUCCACCUGUUGUCUAUUCCAUUUGCACAACAGCAUGUGAAAUUUAUUGUCAAUCAGUGUUGCUUCCUAAGUGGACAGUUUGACUUGGAGUUACAUUGUGUUGUUUAAGUGUUCACUUUAUUUUUUGGAGCAGUGUAUAUAUUUUUAAAUGUGACUAACAGAAAUGGAAUAAUGUGUCCCUGAACAAAGGGGGGGGGGUCAAAAUCAAAAGUAACAGUCAGUAUCUGGUGUGACCACCAGCAGUGCUGCAGUGCAUUUCCUCCUCAUGGACUGCACCAGAUUUGCCAGUUCUUGCUGUGAGAUGUUACCCCACUCUUCCACCAAGUCACCGGCAACAGGACCCAGACGUGCUCAAUGGGAUUGAGAUCUGGGCUCUUCGCUGGCCAUGGCAGAACACUGACAUUCCUGUCCUGCAGGAAAUCAGGACAGCAAGCGAGCAGUAUGGCUGGUGGCAUUGUCAUGCUGGAGGGUCAGGUCAGGAUGAGCUUGUAGGAAGGGUACCACAUGAGGGAGGAGGAUGUUGUCCCUGUAAAGCACAGAGUUGAGAUUGCCUGCAAUGACAACAAGCUCAGUCCGAUGAUGCUGUGACACACCGCCCCAGACCAUGACGGACCCUCCACCUCCAAAUCGAUCCCGCUCCAGAGUACAGGCCUCGGUGUAACGCGAAUCUGACCAUCACCCCUGGUGAGACAAAACCGCGACUCAUCAGUGAAGAGCACUUUUUGCCAGUCCUGUCUGGUCCAGCGACGGUGGGUUUGUGCCCAUAGGCGACAUUGUUGCCGGUGAUGUCUGGUGAGGACCUGCCUUACAACAGGCCUACAAGCCCUCAGUCCACCCUCUCUCAGCCUAUUGCGGACAGUCUGAGCCCUGAUGGAGGGAUUGUGCGUUCCUGGUGUAACUCGGGAAGUUGUUGUUGCCAUCCUGUAUCUGUCCCGCAGGUGUGAUGUUUGGAUGUACCGAUCCUGUGCAGGUGUUGUUACACGUGGUCUGCCACUGCGAGGACGAUCAGCUGUCCGUCCUGUCUCCCUGUAGCGCUGUCUUUGGCGUCUCACAGUACGGACAUUGCAAUUCAUUGCCCUGGCCACAUCUGCAGUCCUCAUGCCUUCUUGCAGCAUGCCUAAGGCACAUUCAUGCAGGAACCCCACUAAUCUACAGACGGAAACGGAUGAGGUGGCUAAAAACAGACCUCCCUCCAUCUUCUGCCAGCUUGCUACCUAUGGCCCGGCUAGCUGUCUGAAUCUCACUGGACCCUUAUGAUCACUCGGCUAAGCAUGCCUCUCUUUAAUGUCAAUAUGCCUUGUCCAUUGCUGUUCUGGUUAGUGUUUAUUGGCUUAUUUCACUGUAGAGCCUCUAGCCCUGCUCAUUAUACCUUAUCCAACCUUUCAGUUCCACCACCCACACAUGCUAUGACAUCUUCUGGUUUCAAUGAUGUUUCUAGAGACAAUAUAUCUCUCAUCAUCACUCAAUGCCUAGGUUUACCUCCACUGUAUUCACAUCCUACCAUACCUUUGUCUGUACAUUAUACCUUGAAGCUAUUUAUCGCCCCCAGAAACCUGCUCCUUUUACUCUCUAUUCCGGACGACAUAGACGACCAAUUCUCAUAGCUUUUAGCCGUACCCUUAUCCUACUCCUCCUCUGGUCCUCUGGUGAUGUAGAGGUGAGUCCAGGCACUGCAGUGCCUAGCUCCACUCCUGCUCCCCAGGCGCUCUCUUUUGAUGACUUCUGUAACCGUAAUAGCCUUGGUUUCAUGCAUGUUAACAUUAGAAGCCUCCUCCCUAAGUUUGUUUUAUUCACUGCUUUAGCACACUCUGCCAACCCGGAUGUCCUAGCCGUGUCUGCAUCCUGGCUUAGGAAGUCCACCAAAAACUCUGAAAUCUUCAUCCCUAACUACAACAUUUUCAGACAAGAUAGAACGGCCAAAGGGAUAGAGAUAGCCUGCAGACUUCUGUCCUACUAUCCAGAGAGUACUGGUGAGACAGACGGUGGUGAGGCUGAGGCAGGCUGUGAUGCAUGGAGGAGGAGGCAGAGGAGACACAGAAAGAGAGGAAGCCAGCAGAGAGAAAGGUUCCAUGACUUUAUGGAGACAUUUCUUCCCAUUCUUUCCAAGAAGUUGGAUACACAACAUCAACACUCCCAGUAAACUGGACACAUGAAUAUUUGUUGUGCUACAAGAGCUACACCAGAGCACCCACACAGACCAAGUCUCAAGGAACAGGUUGGCAAGGACACAGGAGAGGCAUCAUGGGAGGAACAAAACGGGAUAAGAAAUGUGACGACUGACUGAGUGAAAGAAGAAAACGUCAGAGAAAGAAGGAAAGAGAGAAGGAUUGUGCGUUCUCUACUUUCUCAGAAGUGCAGCCCCUAAAUUCCUGUUACUAUGCCUGAGAGAGGGAGGGCAGCAGACCAGUCAAAAUGAACCCCUACGUCACCUCUCACUUUAGGAGGGAUCUCUUUCCCCACUUCCACUUGUUGUAGAGGCUUCUCUUCUCUUCACCCCUCUCUUACUGUUUGUGUGACAUGGG
rnacentral:lncRNA from 1 species